AGCCUCCUGGGGUGUUUGCUAGUCACGAAGUCCUUGAGCCGAUAAAGUACCCUCGGGGUUCAGAGCAGACGACAGUGUGCAUGUCCGCGAGCCGGAAAGCCUAAGGCGCCUGUGCGAUCCCCACCUUGAACCAUCGGGUUCAAGGCCACAUUGACGGCGGCACCUCCGGGACCUGU
rnacentral:other from 1 species